CAAAAUUUCGGGUUGCAGUAGGUCUUGAAACCAUAAAAAAUGGCUGCCGUUACCAUGGAAACGGAACAAUUGUGAAAAAUUCCAGUUUUUGGUUUUAAUGAAUUAUUUGGAGUUGCUUUAACUUAGAAUCACUAUAUUUUGAUACAAUAUAGGUGCCGGGCAUAUACUGGUUUUGGAUGAUUUUGGCAAUCAUUGGAACUAUCAUGUUGCCAUGGAAACUACACCAAAAAAUUCCAAAAUAUCAAAAUGCUCCAAAUUUAAUAAAACUCCACAGUUACGAUGAGCAACAUUCGU
rnacentral:lncRNA from 1 species